rnacentral:misc_RNA from 1 species
GGAACGGAAGUGGAGUUUGUCCAUUGCCAAGAAGCAUAAGCUCCGAUUGCUAUUUUGUAGAUGAAGGAGCAGUAGCCUGAGCUUGAGGGGUUUGCUGAGGCCGGACACUUGAACUGUAUCGGGCUGCAACACCUGUUGCUGAUCUUUAGUAGGGCGGCGAACAUCUUUCGCCUUCCAACAAGCCACACAGCCCCAUGGCCUCCGGCGAGGUUAAUUUUUUGGUGAUGUGCUAUUACACGUCUCAGUUAGAGAGAGAGAAAGUCAAGGCGUUCAGCGACCUUAGUACAUGGUGUGGG